UGCCAGCCGCCGCGGUAAGACGGAGGGUGCAAGCGUUGUUCGGAAUUACUGGGCGUAAAGCGCGUGUAGGCGGAUCUUUAAGUCGGAUGUGAAAGCCCUCGGCUCAACCGGGGAAGUGCAUCCGAUACUGGGAUCUCGAGUGUCAGAGAGGGAAGGGGAAUUCCAGGUGUAGAGGUGAAAUUCGUAGAUAUCUGGAGGAACACCAGUGGCGAAGGCGCCUUCCUGGCUGACUACUGACGCUGAGACGCGAAAGCGUGGGGAGCAAACAGGAUUAGAUA
rnacentral:rRNA from 1 species